rnacentral:rRNA from 1 species
UCCAGACUCCUACGGGAGGCAGCAGUGGGGAAUAUUGGGCAAUGGGCGCAAGCCUGACCCAGCAACGCCGCGUGAAGGAAGAAGGCUUUCGGGUUGUAAACUUCUUUUCUGAGGGACGAAGAAAGUGACGGUACCUCAGGAAUAAGCCACGGCUAACUACGUGCCAGCAGCCGCGGUAAUACGUAGGUGGCAAGCGUUAUCCGGAUUUAUUGGGUGUAAAGGGCGUGUAGGCGGGAAAGCAAGUCAGAUGUGAAAACUCAGGGCUCAACCCUGAGCCUGCAUUUGAAACUGUUUUUCUUGAGUGCUGGAGAGGCAAUCGGAAUUCCGUGUGUAGCGGUGAAAUGCGUAGAUAUUCGGAGGAACACCGGUGGCGAAGGCGGCCAACUGGGCUUUAACUGACGCUGAGGCUCGAAAGUGUGGGGAGCAAACAGGAUUAGAUACCCCGGUACA